rnacentral:rRNA from 1 species
ACGCUCGACACCUACGGGAGGUAGCAGUGGGGAAUAUUGCACAAUGGGGGAAACCCUGAUGCAGCGACGCCGCGUGAGGANGAUNUUGUNUGUAACUUCUAUCGAAGCAGGGAAGAAACGUAGACGGUACCUGACUAAGAAGCCCCGGCUAACUACGUGUCCAGACAGCCGCGGUAAGUCGUGGAGGCCGGGCGUGGCAAGGC